UACGUAGGGUGCGAGCGUUAAUCGGAAUUACUGGGCGUAAAGCGUGCGCAGGCGGUUUUGUAAGCCAGAUGUGAAAUCCCCGGGCUUAACCUGGGAAUGGCAUUUGGGACUGCAAGGCUGGAGUGUGGCAGAGGAGACUGGAAUUCCUGGUGUAGCAGUGAAAUGUGUUGAUAUUGGAAGGAACACCGGAGGCGAAAGCGGUGUACUGGGGCUGGUCUGACGCUGAGGCACGAAAGCCAGGGGAGCGAACGGG
rnacentral:rRNA from 1 species